ACAGACACGCUUGCUUCAUCUUUACGCAGUUGAGUUUUGAAGAAAGAAAAUAUAGCGGUUGGAACUUGGAGAUGAUGGCGCGAACAUGAAGAAUCAGAGAAAGAGACAGAGAGAAAGCGUUGUUGAUCAUGGCUUCAGAGUUGUACAGAGGUGAUGUUUGCCUCAUUAUUCAAGCUCUGAAGUAGGGGGGAUAUUGAUAAUUGUUUAGAACAAUUCAAGCAAUGCGAUAUUUUGUCUGGUGCUGCACUUCUCAACUGAUUUCAAUAUGACUCUCGUGGGUUAAAGUCUUGUGUUCCACUUGUUGCUUGAAAUUUGCCGGAUUUGAAAGAGUUGAUUGAGGAAUGUUAGGAUCCAGAACCUGUUGUCAGGCCAACAUUUUCACAGGUCAUUGUACGAUUGGACAAAAUUGUUGCAAAUUUCUCAAAGCAAGGAUGGUGGAAAGAUACUUUUAAACUUCCUUGG